rnacentral:rRNA from 1 species
CCUACGGGAGGCAGCAGUGGGGAAUAUUGCGCAAUGGGCGAAAGCCUGACGCAGCGACGCCGCGUGAGGGAUGAAGGUCUUCGGAUUGUAAACCUCUGUCAGCAGGGAAGAACGGUCACUGUGCUAAUCAGCAGUGACUUGACGGUACCUGCAAAGCACGCACCGGCUAACUCCGUGCCAGCCGCCGCGGUAAUACGGGGGGUGCGAGCGUUAAUCGGAAUGACUGGGCGUAAAGGGUUCGUAGGCGGUAUGUCAAGCCAAGGGUGAAAUCCACGGGCUCAACGUAGGAACUGCCUUUGAAACUGGAAAGCUGGAGUGUGUGAGAGGAUAGUGGAAUUCCAGGUGUAGGAGUGAAAUGCGUAGAUAUCGGGAGGAACAUCAGUGGCGAAGGCGACGAUCUGGCACAUAACUGACGCUGAGGCUCGAAAGCGUGGGGAGCAAACAGGAUUAGAUACCCUUGUAGUC